GUUUACUACGUUGGAACCACACCCAGCCAAGUCUUACAAGAAAUCAGCCUGCCUGCGAUCACCAUGAAAAAGUGCGAGGCUGUCAUCGACCCAAAUCGAGAAGUAUAUCCAAACGGGCUUCAGAACACCAAGCUAUGUACGGCAACAAAACUGUCCGACAGAGAUGUGUGCAAGGGUGACUCUGGCGGUCCAAUGGUGCAUCUCCGCUCCGAUGGUCGGUAUCAGCUGGUCGGAGUCGUUUCGGGAGGGACCGCGACGUAUUGCAAAGUCACCGCAAACUCUCUGAGUAUUUUCAACCGAGUCAGCACGUAUGUGGACUGGGUACACAACAAGAUGAAGUGACACAUACGCGCACGGAACAAGCCGGAACACAGCCGUCAUAAGUCGCUGUUU